rnacentral:rRNA from 1 species
AUUGAACGCUGGCGGCAUGCCUUACACAUGCAAGUCGAACGGUAACAGGUCUUCGGAUGCUGACGAGUGGCGAACGGGUGAGUAAUGCAUCGGAACGUGCCCAGUUGUGGGGGAUAACUGCUCGAAAGAGCAGCUAAUACCGCAUACGACCUGAGGUUGAAAGCGGGGGACCGUAAGGCCUCGCGCGUUUGGAGCGGCCGAUGGCAGAUUAGGUAGUUGGUGGGGUAAAGGCUUACCAAGCCUGCGAUCUGUAGCUGGUCUGAGAGGACGACCAGCCACACUGGGACUGAGACACGGCCCAGACUCCUACGGGAGGCAGCAGUGGGGAAUUUUGGACAAUGGGCGCAAGCCUGAUCCAGCAAUGCCGCGUGCAGGAUGAAGGCCUUCGGGUUGUAAACUGCUUUUGUACGGAGCGAAACGGCUUCCACUAAUACUGGGGGCUAAUGACGGUACCGUAAGAAUAAGCACCGGCUAACUACGUGCCAGCCGCCGCAGUAAAAC